rnacentral:tRNA from 1 species
GGAAUAGCUCAGUUGGUAGAGCACGACCUUGCCAAGGUCGGGGUCGCGAGUUCUGCUGAAUUCA